rnacentral:rRNA from 1 species
UACGUAGGGUGCAAGCGUUGUCCGGAAUUAUUGGGCGUAAAGAGCGCGUAGGCGGUCCGGUAAGUCAGCUGUGAAAGUCAAGGGCUCAACCCUUGAAAGCCGGUUGAUACUGUCGGGCUAGAGUCCGGAAGAGGCGAGUGGAAUUCCCGGUGUAGCGGUGAAAUGCGCAGAUAUCAGGAGGAACACCAAUUGCGAAGGCAGCUCGCUGGGACGUCACUGACGCUGAGACGCGAAAGCGUGGGGAGCAAACAGG